rnacentral:lncRNA from 1 species
AAACAUUACUUUUCGAUGAUGUUAAAAUUCUAAUCCAAACUUGAGUUUUUCUUUUUUUUUUUAUUUUUUUUUUUACUCUUUCACAACUUCUUCUCUCGCAUGGAGAAGUCGAUCUUCGACGUCGACUUCAAAUACCAAUUCGGCAUUGGCAACUACUUCUUCUCAGAAGCCAUCGUGGAAGCUCUCACGGUAGGACAAAACAUCCCCC